rnacentral:rRNA from 1 species
GACGAACGCUGGCGGCGUGCUUAACACAUGCAAGUCGAACGGUGAAGCUCCAGCUUGCUGGAGUGGAUCAGUGGCGAACGGGUGAGUAACACGUGAGCAACCUGCCCCGGACUCUGGAAUAAGCGCUGGAAACGGCGUCUAAUACUGGAUACGAGAAGGGUCCGCAUGGGCACUUUCUGGAAAGUUUUUCGGUUGGGGAUGGGCUCGCGGCCUAUCAGCUUGUUGGUGAGGUAAUGGCUCACCAAGGCGACGACGGGUAGCCGGCCUGAGAGGGCGACCGGCCACACUGGGACUGAGACACGGCCCAGACUCCUACGGGAGGCAGCAGUGGGGAAUAUUGCACAAUGGGCGAAAGCCUGAUGCAGCGACGCCGCGUGAGGGAUGACGGCCUUCGGGUUGUAAACCUCUUUCAGCAGGGAAGAAGCGAAAGUGACGGUACCUGCAGAAGAAGCACCGGCUAACUACGUG